GUAAAACCUCUUUGAAGGAGACAGGCAGCAGAAUUAAAGGGAGAUCUGAUGAAGCUGUGUGAUGUGUCUGACCAAUGUCAUGUGCUACUUUGGAGGAUGAUGAAAAGACACAGGUGGCAGCAGAGAACACUGUAUUGAACCAAAUAGAACUACACAACUUCCACCUAGGUAUACAGCAGCUACAAUUUAGUAGAAGGCUUCUAUCAUGCACUGCCCUCCCUAGUAAAAUCCACCUUGAGAGGGUCACUGAAUGUUGUGGUUACAGCUGCCCAUAGAAAUCUAUACAGAGGCGUGGGGGAGUAACUGAAAAGAAAGAAAAGAAAGAAGCAAACACAAUAAAGUAAAUGCCUGGAUAUCACAAGGAUAUCACAACUUAUCAGCAAUAUCCCAAAAUAUAGUACUGUAAUACUGUGUGGUACAAUUCUCAGAAUUGAACAGAUCCCAGGCUGAAGAAUCCUCAGCAGUUGUACUGGAAUACUCCUCUACAGUAGGCGUCACACUGCUAUAAAGUCCAAGAUCAAAAAACACAAGAUUUAAUGUCACAAUUUAUAAAAUAAAAACAAGCAGAGUGGCAUGCCAUGUAGGAGCUCAAACCACAAGGCUUUUUAAGGUAGUUUCAUUUAAUUUUACAUCUUAUUCCUUGCCUGCUCUACUAGAUUCAAUUUGUACAUUUAGGAUAUUCAUUGCUUUAACAGAUUUUUAUAAAGUUUUCUUUGUAAACUCUGCACUACCAUUUGAUAAGAACAGUCCCAUUUCUUUUUUU